rnacentral:rRNA from 1 species
CACGCAUGACACACUGCAUAUCAAUAAGCGGAGGAAAAGAAACUAACAAGGAUUCCCCUUAGUAACGGCGAGUGAAGCGGGAAGAGCUCAAAUUUGAAAUCUUCAAGGUUCUACCUUGACGAAUUGUAGUUUAUAGAAGUGUUUUCUGUUAGUAGAGGUGGCUAAAAGUUCUUUGGAAUAGGACAUCAUAGAGGGUGAGAAUCCCGUAUUUGAUCAUUCUUUCUAAGCGUUGUGAUACACUUUCAACGAGUCGGAUUGUUUGGGAAUGCAGUCCAAAAUGGGUGGUAAAUUUCAUCUAAAGCUAAAUAUUGGCGAGAGACCGAUAGCGAACAAGUACCGUGAGGGAAAGAUGAAAAGAACUUUGAAAAGAGAGUUAAACAGUACGUGAAAUUGUCAAAAGGGAAGCGUUUGACACCAGUGUUGUUUUUCCGAAAAUCAAUUACGAAUGUUUUGUUUUUGAGGAGUUAUGACUUCAUCGGCUUGCUUCUCUCUUUACGAAACUUUCUUAAUGCACUUUUCGGUUAACAAGUCAACAUCAAUUUCUUUUGUUGUAGAAGGGUAUGAGGAAGGUGGCUUUCUUUUCGGAGAAAGUGUUUAUAGCCUUGUACCUCUGCAAUCGGAGAGAUUGAGGUCUGCAGCGUAGAUCCUUCGGGGUUAGAUACGUUUGUGCUAAGCUAUAGCCUUUUCAUAGACAACUUGUUGACUAUGAUCAGUCAUGUAGCUUACUCGCUGAUGCUAUUUUACCUACGCUUAGGAUGUUGAGCGCAUGUCUCUCUCU